rnacentral:rRNA from 1 species
CAAUAGCGUAUAUUAAAGUUGUUGCAGUUAAAAAGCUCGUAGUUGGAUUUCUGGCAGGAGCGACCGGUCACACACUCUGUGUGUGAACUUGCGUUGUCUCUGGCCAUCCUUGUGAAGAUCCUGUUUGGCAUUAAGUUGUCGGGCAGGGGAUACCCAUCGUUUACUGUGAAAAAAUUAGAGUGUUUAAAGCAGGCUUAUGCCGUUGAAUAUAUUAGCAUGGAAUAAUAAGAUAGGACUUCGGAACUAUUUUGUUGGUUUGCGUUACGAAGUAAUGAUUAAUAGGGACAGUUGGGGGUAUUCGUAUUUCGUUGUCAGAGGUGAAAUUCUUGGAUUUCCGAAAGACGAACUACUGCGAAAGCAUUUACCAAGGAUGUUUNCAUUAA